rnacentral:lncRNA from 1 species
GCACUGGCUCCGCGUCGGCCGGUCGGUUUGGUCGGUUGUAGUGGCCUCGCCGCCCGGUCCGCUGUCGCAGCGCUCAUCCGCGCCGGGAGCCCUUGGCUGCGUCGCCCGGCAGCCGCGUAAAGACGCUGCGAAUUGACGCCUUUUAUAAUAAAGACACUUAUCUUGCCCAAGAGCUGGGCUGGAGUGUAGUGGCGCAAUCUUGGAUCACCACAACCUCCGUCUCCCAGGUUCAAGCGAUUCUCCCGCCUCAGCCUCCUGAGUAGCAAUUACAGGUAAAGGUUGUGGCCAGAAAGCACGGGCAGCCUGGGACUCCUGUUGCCAUAGCAACCCAGCUACCGCCGAGGACUUCUGCGGCUUUUCCAGCCCAGCAGCAGCCGCUCCAGCAAAUACAUAUGGGGACUCCAGUACCUGGAGAUGUGAAUUCCAUAAAAAUGGAAGCAUCUAAGAGGCAGUGAACACUGGCGCCCACAGGAGAACCAGGUGCAUCAGCGCAUUGCGGAGCUGAGGAAAGCAGGUCUGUGGUCCCAGAGGCGUCUGCUGAAGCUGCAGGAGGCCCACGACCCAAGUCCCACUGGGACUAUCUGCUGGAGGAGAUGCAGUGGAUGGCCACAGACUUUGCCCAGGAGAGGUGGAAGGUGGCCUCUGUGAAGAAGAUGGUCAGAGCUGUGGCCCGGCAGCUGCAGGACAGGACGCGCAGGGAGGCCGGGGCCAGGAGGGAGGAGCCGAGCAGGCUGAGGCAGACGUCACCUGUACUACCAGAGAAAUCGAGCGUCCCUGGUCUAGUACUGCGCAGGUAAAGAUUCCAGCAUCUUGGAAGCAAGUGCUCCACUGGAAAAUAAAAGCCACGUGGAGCACUUGAUUAGACUCCAGAAACAGAAACUGCAGCUGCUCCCACCACCCCCACCACCACAGGCCCUGCCCGGGGCACAGCCAACCACACAAGUGCAAGUGCAGCCGUCACCCGCCUACCACAGCAGAGCCCCCAGCUCACCACAGUCACGGCCCCGAGACCCAGAGCCCUGUUGAUGGGCACCACCAUGGCCAACCUCCAGACUCGAGUUUCCACCUCCCACCUGCAAGGCCCAAGACUGACGUCAGCGCUGACGUACCAGAUGGCCCAGGUUGCUGUGGCCACGCCCCCUGUGGUGUCUGUCCUGGCAGUUGUGGUGCUGUCAGCCAGGGUCACAGUGCUUCCAUCAACGCAACGGGAUCAGUGUUGUGAUAAGGCAGCUGCAAAAAGCGGCAGGUAGGCAGCCACCUUCGCCUCACCAAACUCGAAACAACUCACUUGAGUGAGUUGCAUCAAACCUUUCUAAAUUUCUCAUUCUAGAAGUUGCUGAGUUGUUCUGCCAUGUGUUAACUUUUUUUUCUUAUCAGUAAAAUCUUUUAUUUGGUUUAUAUUUCAAAUGUAAUUUAAAAAGUCUAUAAGACAGGAAAUUCGAUAAUAUGAAAGCAGGGAGAAACUAAGUCGCACCAUUUAGCUAAGCUCAGGGACAACGUUCAUUUAUAAUAAAUCAAACAUUUGAUUUUUUUCAUGCC